rnacentral:lncRNA from 1 species
GUUCUCUAAUAACUUAUUGUUAAAACAACCAUCCCAGUCCCAUCCAGCCACUGCUGCACCCUGCCACCCCAAAAGCAUCUGACCUGCAGAUGCCUCCCAGAGGAGCCUUUUCCAUCCUGUGCUGGGAAAAAGAACAAUGGCCUCAGGACAGCACAGAUCCUCAAUCCAGGUGGGAGCUCAGCACCCUCCAGCUGGGAAGGCUGUGGUGUCCAAGCUCUCCGGAAGUCCCAAGAGGCUCAGACACCUCCCAGCCUUAUUUUCUCCAUUAAAAACACCAUGUGGGCACCCUGUCUUUUUUAUGAGCUGAAAAGAUUUCACGUCCCAAGACGGAAGAGAGGAGAAAUUGGGGUGCAAAACUUACCUCCACACCAGGAAUAUUGGGACAUUUCUGAAGUUAAAGAAACCCAGCCUCAGUGUGAUGAGGACCGCCCCCCACCAGCCCAGGUGGGCUGUGCAUAAGGAUCAGACAUACUGGGGGAGCAGUGAUCCAACAAGAAAGACCUUUCAAAGGAGAGACACUUCAAAACUCCUUAUCGCCGUCUCCACUAGCCAACGCCAAGUUCUACUUCCAUUUUAUAUCACCGCUUCUCUUUUGUUUUUGUUGUGUUUCUAAAUCUGGAUCAGGAUGGAGACUGGCAGUAUCCCUUGAGAAAAGAGGACCAUGGCUGAAAACACAAAAAAGUGUUCAGAAUGCCCACUUGUGGGCCAAGCACAUGUGAUCUGCUUAGAAGAAUGUCGGCAUAGGCUGUAGGUCUUGAUGGGAGGACAGUAAACAAACAGACAAACUCAGAAUGCUCUCCACACACAGAAAAGGAUUUGGGAAUGGGAACAAUGAAAGUUAUUCUACCAAGUAUUUUAUCCUUCAUCUGAAAUAGAAAGGCUGUCCCACUGGAUGGAAAAGAUGGGGCCCCUUAGGAAACUGUGGCAGCUCUUUGCCAGGGAGCCAGCCACACACCCACUCACGCCCAGGCUGACUCCCUGCGUCACCUGCCAAAGGACAUGGUCAGUCCCCAUCCAUGUCCUGAAGUGCCCCCUGAAGCAGCCAAGGCUAGAUGCUUCUAAGGGACAAGGAGGCCCUGGCAAAAGGGCAACUUGCUACCCAGGAGUGAUCUCUCAAAUUUCCGAGGUCUCCAAACUCCUGAAAUGAGGCAGAUGGUCAAAUCAAAGCUUUCAGAAGAAAAAGAUCUCCACAAUAAAUACAGAAAUAAAGGCCUUCAGGACUUCAUUAGCCCCCUUUUUUUAAAUUCAUUUUUAAGUCACAUCUGAUUUUCAAAGACUAUGCCUUCCUGCUGUACCACCAGGUUCCCUGUCUUCUGGAGUAAAGCAGCAAUUCCCAGGCCUCAAUGGCACACUAGCUCGCAGGUUCUGCUGGCUCUGGACCUGCUGCUCUGCUCCUUUCACAGGCCUGCCUGGUCCCAUCGAUGCAGGGCCUGGAGUCUCUUGCACUGAGUCAAGGGCAGAGGAAGCUGCAACUCAAUGGCACUGCACAUCUGUAAUUCACUGCCUUUGGCUCCCUCCAGCUGUUGUUCCACACCAUCCUCACAACUCUUUAAGGUCUUACAUUCUUACUUUCCCCAUUUUAAAGUCAAGGAAAUUGUGUUAAGUAACCUCUUCUCCCCAAGACUGCACAGCCACUUGUGUGGCUGAGUGCCACACAAUAAAAAUACACCUCAUGCCUCUGAAUGCUGCCUGCCAGGUGGGAAAACAGGUGUAAGGGUUCUGGCUGUGUAGAAGAAGAAAAACGGUGUUGUCAAAGGAAUAGCUGUUCCCCUGGCCAGGUCAUUAUGGUCAGGAAAUCAUACAGCAACUCGGAUGGAGUGUGUCUAGAUUCACAGAGCACAUGAGAGGUUAACCAUAUAUUGAAGUCCUUCGUAGUUUUGUCUUAAGUACUCGAUCUGAUGAGACAAAAACAACUUCAUGUGUUUUGAGCAGUUCAGUGAAUGAUUUUUUCAAGAAAGAAAAUUAAGUUUCCUCUCAAUCUAUGUUAACAAAAUGGCAAAAAAAAACCAAAAACAUGAGGAAGGAAAUUGGGGUCUCCUCUAUGCUAAGCAUAAUGCAAAUAACAGAUCAGAGAUUUUAAAUGCAAUUAUUCCCUCCUCUGUGUUUUAGUGGUUAAAACCUGGCAAUUUGAGGUGGUCACUCACAAACAUGAAUCUCAAACAAUGGAGUUUUUAUCUACCUCCAAAAAAGUAUGGAUCUUGGAAAAAGAAUUUUUUUUUUUACUCUGAUAAGACAGUAAUCUCCUACCUUGCUGACUCAAAUGUACUUGCAUAUUAAUUGCUUCAGACCCCAAAAUCCCUGCUGAACUGGCUAAAUUUUGGGCCAAAUUCAAUAAUCCAGCAACCUCCCAUUCAAUACCUCACCAAGAUAACUUUGCAUGUUUAAUUUAAAAGUACCGAUCGCUUUUAAAUGAAAUGCUAACGCAAGCCCGUCUGCCGGCCCAAGCCACUACUGCAUCUCUGAGGGACAAGCUGCAAGUUGGAGAGCUGACUAAAGUCUGAGCAGCCUUCGGACAACGAGAAUGCACUCUAUCUCCACCAUCAUAUCUCUCCGGUGCGCCAUUCACGUCGUUCAUUGCAGGAAUUCUCACUCAAUUUUGCUCCAUUAUGAGCUGACGGUGACCCAGAGUAUACAAGGCAUUCAAGAAUCUGACUGGAAAUUACUACCACAAAACAUCUGUCCCAUUCCCCGCUUGCCAGCCCUGCCUUAGGGAGUGAAGAUGGAAAACAACCCAGAAUCCACACGCAGGAACAACUUUUCAUUCCCCUCACAAACCAGGCUCCUUUGGAAACUGAUGGUUCCAGCAUUUUUUUAGAAACUAUGUUCCCGGAAAAACAUGGCAUGGGCCUCUUUUGAAAGCCUUCAGCUCAAAACCCUUCUUUUCCUACCCAGACCCUUCUAAUAAAAGCCAGGACAGGAGCUUCACGGGGAAGCAAACAUGAAGGCCACCCAGGGUUCUCCCUACUUUGUGUGGUCAGAUUCAAAUUUUGCAUUAAAUGCCACUGAUCAAUUAAAAGACCACAGGGAUGUCACACAUACUAAUACAUUCCACAGCUUAUGUGGCAUCUAUCUUAUAGACAUACUCCCUUUGGAAGAUUUAUGUUGCGAUUACAAAAGAGUAAAAGAAGACAUCUGAUUUCAUACAGGGCUAAGCCUCGGAACCCAGCUUUUCUCCUCGAUUGCUAUCAGAGGAUCGAGGCGGCAGCAUGGCACCUCCCAUCUAGAUUGCAUUUCACUUUGCUGCAGAUGCUCCAAGGGACCAAGCAAUGGACAUGCUCAAUGAAUCAAAUAAAUGAAUAAUCCAGAAAGAACUGGUUUGUCUGCAAUCAAGAAUCAGUGUCUGUGUCUCCAUCCUCAUGUCCAACAGUGCCCCACCACCUCCAUAUGCUUAUAAUUCGUCAGGGGUCAGAGAGAUCAUUGGCACAGUAACUGCUCCCAGCCAGUCACAGUGGUUCACACCUGUAAUCCCAGCACUUUGGGCAGUCAAAGCAGGAGGAUCACUUGAGCCCAGGAGUUUGAGACCAACCUGCGCAACACAGCAAGCGCUUGGCUCUACAAAAAAUAAACAAACAAAACAAUAACUGCUCCCUACUAUGUGCCUGAAGCUUUAUUUAUGGACAUCUUUGAUGCAACCACCCUGUGAGAUAAUCAUCUGCAUUUGAGGUGCACAGACAGGCUCAGAGAGGCCAGGUGGCAUUUCCGCUAGACCCAGGCCACCCCUAUGCAUGGGUUCCUUCGGCCUGACCAUCACUAUGUCCUUAAUGUGCUGGGCCUUGCUACCACUGCUGUUUUCAGUUAAACUCUCUUGGGUGCUAAAGUUAUGGAGGCACCUCAAAUCAGAAGUUCCAGGUUUGAGGAAGAGAGAGCAGAAAGAUAUGAGAUCCCAAUUCUUGCAUAGGCUGGAAUCUGGUGGGACAGGAGUUGUAAACCAAUGCCACUGUCCUUUGUUAUCUGUGGGGGAUUGAUUUGAGGACCCCUGAAGGACCAAAAUCUGAGGAUGCUUAAGGCCCUGAUAUAAAAUGACAGAGUAUUUUCAU